rnacentral:rRNA from 1 species
AGAGUUUGAUCAUGGCUCAGAUUGAACGCUGGCGGCAGGCCUAACACAUGCAAGUCGAGCGGAUGAUGGGAGCUUGCUCCUGGAUUCAGCGGCGGACGGGUGAGUAAUGCCUAGGAAUCUGCCUGGUAGUGGGGGACAACGUUUCGAAAGGAACGCUAAUACCGCAUACGUCCUACGGGAGAAAGCAGGGGACCUUCGGGCCUUGCGCUAUCAGAUGAGCCUAGGUCGGAUUAGCUUGUUGGUGAGGUAAUGGCUCACCAAGGCGACGAUCCGUAACUGGUCUGAGAGGAUGAUCAGUCACACUGGAACUGAGACACGGUCCAGACUCCUACGGGAGGCAGCAGUGGGGAAUAUUGGACAAUGGGCGAAAGCCUGAUCCAGCCAUGCCGCGUGUGUGAAGAAGGUCUUCGAAUUGUAAAGCACUUUAAGUUGGGAGGAAGGGUUGUAGAUUAAUACUCUGCAAUUUUGACGUUACCGACAGAAUAAGCACCGGCUAACUCUGUGCCAGCAGCCGCGGUAAUACAGAGGGUGCAAGCGUUAAUCGGAAUUACUGGGCGUAAAGCGCGCGUAGGUGGUUUGUUAAGUUGGAUGUGAAAGCCCCGGGCUCAACCUGGGAACUGCAUCCAAAACUGGCAAGCUAGAGUACGGUAGAGGGUGGUGGAAUUUCCUGUGUAGCGGUGAAAUGCGUAGAUAUAGGAAGGAACACCAGUGGCGAAGGCGACCACCUGGACUGAUACUGACACUGAGGUGCGAAAGCGUGGGGAGCAAACAGGAUUAGAUACCCUGGUAGUCCACCGCCGUAAACGAUGUCAACCAGCCGUUGGAAUUCCUUGAGAUUUUAGUGGCGCAGCUAACGCAUUAAGUGCCCGCCUGG